AUUUAGGUAGCUUAAAUGAAAGCAUGAUAUUGAAGAUAUCAAGAUAAACUUAGUUUCCUGGAUA
rnacentral:tRNA from 1 species